CUGAACCAGCCAAGUAGCGUGAAGGAUGACUGCCCUAUGGGUUGUAAACUUCUUUUAUAAAGGAAUAAAGUCGGGUAUGGAUACCCGUUUGCAUGUACUUUAUGAAUAAGGAUUGGCUAACUCCGUGCCAGCAGCCGCGGUAAUACGGAGGAUCCGAGCGUUAUCCGGAUUUAUUGGGUUUAAAGGGAGCGUAGAUGGAUGUUUAGGUCAGUUGUGAAAGUUUGCGG
rnacentral:rRNA from 1 species